CCUCGAUCCGACCCCACCGAGAAAGCGUUGCCGCAGGCAACGACCCGAAGGGCGAAGCGCGCAGCGCUGAGUCAUCCUUCCCCCACCACCA
rnacentral:sRNA from 1 species